UACGGGGGGGUAAGCGUUGUUCGGAAUUACUGGGCGUAAAGGGCUCGUAGGCGGCCAACUAAGUCAGACGUGAAAUCCCUCAGCUUAACUGGGGAACUGCGUCUGAUACUGGAUGGCUUGGAUCCGGGAGAGGGAUGCGGAAUUCCAGGUGUAGCGGUGAAAUGCGUAGAGAUGUGGAGGAAUACCGAUGGCGAAGGCAGCCCCCUGGGAUAACACUGACGCUCAUGCACGAAAGCGUGGGGAGCAAACAGG
rnacentral:rRNA from 1 species